rnacentral:rRNA from 1 species
GAUGAACGCUGGCGGCGUGCCUAAUACAUGCAAGUCGAGCGAACAGACGAGGAGCUUGCUCCUCUGACGUUAGCGGCGGACGGGUGAGUAACACGUGGAUAACCUACCUAUAAGACUGGGAUAACUUCGGGAAACCGGAGCUAAUACCGGAUAAUAUAUUGAACCGCAUGGUCAAUUAGUAAAAGACGGUUUUGCUGUCACUUAUAGAUGGAUCCCCGCCGCAUUAGCUAGUUGGUAAGGUACCGGCUUACCAAGGCAACGAUGCGUAGCCGACCUGAGAGGGUGAUCGGCCACACUGGAACUGAGACACGGUCCAGACUCCUACGGGAGGCAGCAGUAGGGAAUCUUCCGCAAUGGGCGAAAGCCUGACGGAGCAACGCCUCGUGAGUGAUGAAGGUCUUCGGAUCGUAAAACUCUGUUAUUAGGGAAGAACAAAUGUGUAAGUAACUAUGCACGUCUUGACGGUACCUAAUCAGAAAGCCACGGCUAACUACGUG